rfam:Triticum aestivum genome assembly, contig: Triticum_aestivum_CS42_TGACv1_scaffold_320605_4BL
CAGGUACUCCCUUCAUCCCAAAUUACUCGUCGCUGAAAUGGAUUUAUCUAGAGCUAAAAUACAUCUAGAUACAUCCAUACGUGCGACAAGUAAUUCGGAACGGAGGGAGUAUGAU